rnacentral:rRNA from 1 species
GUGCACCAGUCGAGAAAACUUUACAAUGUGCGAAAGCACGAUAAGGGAACUCUGAGUGCCUCCUAAGGAGGCUGUUCUGAUGUCUAAAAAGCAACAGAAGUAAGGGCUGGGUAAGACCGGUGCCAGCCGCCGCGGUAACACCGGCAGCCCAAGUGGUAGCCACGUUUAUUGGGUCUAAAGCGUUCGUAGCCGGCCAGGUAAGUUCCUUGGUAAAUUUAGCCGCUUAACGGUUAAGCUUUCAGGGAAUACUGCUUGGCUUGGGACUGGGAGAGGUCAGAGGUACUCCGGGGGUAGGGGUGAAAUCUAUUAAUCCCUGGGGGACCACCGGUAGCGAAGGCGUCUGACCAGACCAGGUCCGACGGUGAGGGACGAAGGCUAGGGGCGCGAACCGGAUUAGAUACCCCGGU